CGAACGGUGAAGCCCAGCUUGCUGGGUGGAUCAGUGGCGAACGGGUGAGUAACACGUGAGCAACCUGCCCCUGACUCUGGGAUAAGCGCUGGAAACGGCGUCUAAUACUGGAUAUGUGACGUGACCGCAUGGUCUGCGUCUGGAAAGAAUUUCGGUUGGGGAUGGGCUCGCGGCCUAUCAGCUUGUUGGUGAGGUAAUGGCUCACCAAGGCGUCGACGGGUAGCCGGCCUGAGAGGGUGACCGGCCACACUGGGACUGAGACACGGCCCAGACUCCUACGGGAGGCAGCAGUGGGGAAUAUUGCACAAUGGGCGCAAGCCUGAUGCAGCAACGCCGCGUGAGGGAUGACGGCCUUCGGGUUGUAAACCUCUUUUAGCAGGGAAGAAGCGAAAGUGACGGUACCUGCAGAAAAAGCGCCGGCUAACUACGUGCCAGCAGCCGCGGUAAUACGUAGGGCGCAAGCGUUAUCCGGAAUUAUUGGGCGUAAAGAGCUCGUAGGCGGUUUGUCGCGUCUGCUGUGAAAUCCGGAGGCUCAACCUCCGGCCUGCAGUGGGUACGGGCAGACUAGAGUGCGGUAGGGGAGAUUGGAAUUCCUGGUGUAGCGGUGGAAUGCGCAGAUAUCAGGAGGAACACCGAUGGCGAAGGCAGAUCUCUGGGCGUAACUGACGCUGAGGAGCG
rnacentral:rRNA from 1 species